UACUCACCAAGAUAGUAAUCUUUUAAUCUUGAACUUUCUCGCAGGCCCCACGUCGAAGUACAAAGUGUUCUUUAGGUUUAACACUUGUUGCCACCAUUUUCGUAUUAGGGUUUGAAGCUCUACAAGAUCUAACUUUCUCCACCGUCACCGAUGCUUCCUCCUCGAACGCGAUUGCCUCAUCUUCCACCGGGUUUGCUAGUUCUUCUAUCUCCGGCAGCAGCCUUUGCAUAUCCGUCACCACUUCCGGUGGUAAAACCAUGGGGGUUACAUCAUCUCGCCCUUCCGGAAAGGACUCGACCCCGAGUCUUGCCGAUGGGAAUCGCGUCAACAGGUCCGUCUUUCUCUCCCACGAUGUAUCUUCUUCACUUAACCCAUUCCAUUUUAUUAAAAUCCCUGUUCUUUCUUUUCCUUUCUUUAAAAUAUUUCUUUUUGCCAAAAUGGCUUCCGGGACCACAACGGGAUCGUUGUUGACUGCCAACGAAGGUAACCUGCAAGUUUUUAAAUUUUUACCUUCUCCUCUAAACUUUUUCAGUCUGGACACGUGAAAUACAGGAUGUAUUGUAGAUCAAGCUUCAUUGAUACCUCAUUUACCUUUUUAAUUACAAGAAAUGGACCAUAAUAUUUUUGUGCAAGCUUGUGAUGAAGACCCAUUUUCAGAGAUGCUUGUUUAUAUGGUUGCAAUCUUACCAAGACUAGAUCUCCCACUUCAAAAGUUAUAGGUGUUCUUCUUUUAUCUGCUGCCUUCUUCAUUUUAUUUUGUGCUUUUUGUAAAUUUAUUUUUACUAAUUUCAGUCCGGCGUCUCCACUCCUUGUCAACUGCAACAACUUUAGAUGAACAGGGAAUGUAGCUUGGAAUAUCAGGAGACUCUCUCCCGUACAAUACCUUGAAGGGACUCAUUCCUAAAGACGUGUGGUAGCAGCUGUUAUACCACAGCUCUGCCCAAGGUAAAAUAUCUAACCACUGUCUUGGCUUGUUGUGUAUGUUUGCUCUCAUGUAAUGUUCAAUAGUUUUAUUAACUAUCUCUGUUUGUCCAUCUGAUUGCGGAUGGUAAGCAGAAGAUAGAGAUAAUUUGCAACCAUUCACUCGGUUAAGCUCUUUCCAGAAUUGACCAGUGAAUACCUUAUCCCGGUCUGAGACUAUUGACCGUGGAAACCCAUGUAAUUUGAUGAUGUGAUGAAUGAAAUAAUUUGCAACACUUGUUGCAGUGUAGGACGACGGUAGUGCCCCUACAUGAACAAAUUUGGACAAACUGUCCACCACGACAAUAAUAACACUUUUUUCCUUCAUUAAUGGCAAACCUGUGAUAAAAUCAACAGAAAUGUCUUGCCAAACCGCCUCCGGAAUUGGUAACGGUAUUAAUAACCCAUAUUGCUUAAUAUUAUCGGUUGGCAAAUAAUGCAAGUAGCAACAUAUUCUUUAAUCUGAGAAUUCAUACCUUCCCAUAAAAAUGAAUUUUGAAUCCGCUUGGUAGUUUUUUCACAACCUGUAUGUCCAUCCAUAUAUGAAUUAUGUAGAGACUCCAUAAUUGUUUCUGUUAACUCCGAACCUUUGGGAAUCCAGAUUCUGUCUUUAAAAAAUAUUAAUCCAUUCACCAUUCUGUAAUCAUCACUUGAUAAUCUCCCUGCUUCAAUCUCCUUUUGAUUUUUUUUCCCCAGCCUUGGUCUAACAACUCUGAUUUCAGAAUAUGAAUAAUAUUAUCCUUAUGACCUUUAAAUGAUAACAUCAUACCUUCGGUCUGUUCUGAUGGUAUUUCUUCUUCUUCAAACCUUCACGAUAAUCCAUUUGCUGCUGAAUUCUCGAUCCCUGGUUUAUAAAUAAUUUCAAAGUCAUAUCCCAAUAGUUUAUAUAGAAAUUCUUGUUGUUCUGGAGUUUGAAUAAUUUGAGUUAACAGAUUCUUCAAACUUCUAUGGUCCGUUUUUAUAGUGAAAUGUCUGCCAAGUAGAUAAUGACACCAUUUCCCUACUGCUUGAGUGAUAGCAAAUAACUCUCGAGCAUAUGUGGAAGCCAUUCUCCUCCGACCUGUCAAUUUCUUGCUAAAAUAGGCUAAGGGGUGCCCUUCCUGCAUUAAUACUGCUCCAAUACCUGUUUGUGAUGCAUCUGUUUCCACCACAAAUAUAGUUUCAAAAUUAGGAUAGCUUAAGACAGGUGCAGCCAACAUUGCUUUUUUUAAAGUUGCAAAACUUUUAGUAGCACCCUCAUUCCACAAGAACUCAUUCUUCUUAAGUAAUUCUGUCAUUGGAUGUGCAAUGCUAGCAUAGCUCUUAAUGAAACGUCUAUAAUAUCAGAAUAGUUUUUUAAUAACUCCUCCUGUUCCACAGAAUAAUCCCCAUUUUUCGAACUAUUAAUAAUAGAAUUUACUGUUGACAUUUCGAUCUGCACGAUAUACACCUUAAAAUAACAGCACGAUAUAGAUCUGAAUCAAUAUAAAUUCGUAGCAAUUAUUUUUAGGUAAAAUACUUUCCUGUUUGGGAUCUAGUCAAGGGCUAGAACAUCCCUUGAAAUAUUGAUUGAAUUCUUUACGUCGUUCCCGACCGAGAUCCCUUGCCAAUGAUCGUCUGUCCGCAAGAGAGAGAACCCGAUUGAAAGCACCAAUGUAAUCAGAUAGAAAACCAACCACUUGCUCUUCACUGAAAUUAAUAAAAUAUGCUAAAACUUGGAGAGUUAAUCCUCCCCUUGUAGCCGACGGCUAGGGUUUAAAAAACCAAAUUCUUAGCUACCAAAUUAUCUAGGGUUAUGUCUUAUAUAAGACAUCCAUUACAAUUUAUUAAACCACACUAAGGCCCACUCGAAUUGGCCCGUUACUCACCAAGAUAGUAAUCUUUUAAUUUUGAACUUGGUACUUUCUCGCGGGCCCCACGUCGAAGUAUAAAGUGUUAUUUAGGUUUAACACUUGCUGCCACCAUUUCUGUAUUAGGGUUUGAAGCUCCACAAGAUCUAACUUUCUCCACCGUCACCGAUGCUUUCUCCUCGAACGUGACUAUCUCAUCUUCCACCUGGUCUGCUAGUUCUUCUAUCUCCGGCAGCAGCCUUUGCAUAUCCGUCACCACUUCCGGUGGUAAAACCAUGGGGGUUACACCCUAUAAAAGGGGUCCUUGGGGGUCCUCCACUCUCAAGUCAUUCACCCUUGACUCACACUCCAACCAGAGAAAACCAAGGAGCCCGAGUCGUCGACUGCCACGUGAGUCGCCGAUUCCCCUCCACUUCUGCAGGUACAUUGACGUAGAGCGCGCGUCGUGGACUCCAAAGCCUCCGGCCCUCCUCGCAACCCUGCGAGCCUACUGGUAGCAGAUGUCGUGCUUCAUCAGAUAACAAAAUGAAUGUGGUAGGAAGUAAAUGGGUCUAUAAAAUCAAAACCAAAGCUGAUGGAUCUAUAGAUAGAUUUAAAGCAAGAUUAGUGGCAAAGGGGUAUAUAUAGUCAAGAAGAAGGUGUUGACUACACCUCAACCUAUAGCCCUUUAAUUAGAAUAAGCACAGUAAGAGUCAUUGUGUCCAUAGCCGUGACAGAAAACUGGGAACUAAGACAAUUAGAUGUUAGGAAUGCGUUCCUGAAUGGGCAUUUAAAAUGAAACUGUCUAAAUGAAACAACCGGUGGGUUUUGUAGACAAAGAUCGUCCUAAGCAUGUUUGUAUGCUGAACAAAGCCCUAUAUGGUUUAAAGCAAGCUCUUAGAGCCUGAUACUCAAGACUUCAAAAUUUUCUGAUUGAGAAUGCAUUUGAGAAUAGUGGAUCAGAUUCAUCUUUAUUCUUCAAGAUUACAACAAAACAUGAGCAGUUGUUCUCCUGCCAGAACUCCACUACCUUUGUCUCCAAGGCUAACAAAGAAACUAGGUAAGCCCAUAGAAGAACCUAAGGUCUACAGAAGCAUUAUAGGGUUUUUACAGUAUCUGACACUAACAAGACCGGACAUUUCAUUUUAUGUAAAUCAUUCAAGUCGGUUUCUUAAAGAACCUACUGAAGUUCAUUUACAAUCAGCAAAAAGAAUACUGAGAUAUCUUAAGGGUACUAUGAAUUUAGGGUUGAGAUUCACACCAUCAAACAAACCAGUAAAUACCCUAGUAGCCUAUUGUGAUUCUGAUUGGGGAACUAAUCCUGAUGAUAGAAUCUCAAUAUCAGGGGUUAGUCUCUGGUAUGGAGGGAAUCUAGUGAGCUGGUCUGCUAAAAAAACAAGACACAGUGACAAGAUCAAGUUGUGAAUCAGAAUACAAAGUUUUGGCAAGGAUUGUGUCACAAGUAAAGUGGUUCUGUCGAUUAUUGAGAGAAUUAGACAUUAGACUAGCUUCUUCCUCUUUGGUUCUAUGUGACAAUAAAUCAACUAUUUUUUUGGCUAAAAAUCCCUCUUCCUCAGGGAGGACUAGGCAUAUGGAUAUUUGACACCACUUUGUGAGAGAAUUAGUCAACAAAUAUGCCAUCAGGAUAGAAUACAUUCCAUCUGAUGAACAACUUGGAGAUAGUUUCACAAAAAUCUUGGGUAGUGAAUUAUUUUAUAGACAUAGAAUAAGACAUAAAAUAGUACCUGUUGAACUUAAUCAAGGAAAGAACAAAAUACUUUAGGUAUAUUCAAAUGAAAUAUAUAUAUGAAUAAAUAAACAAAAAAUAAUUAUAGAUUUAGGAUAGGAAUAAACUAAUCUUGAUAUGGUCUUGAUAAAAUACAUAGAUAAUUUUAAUAUAUUUACAUAUAUAGUUGCUAGUUGUUUGGUACGUGUUUGUUUAAAUUUCAGAGAAUCUCACAUGCAUGAUCAUGGUUGAAUUUGCAAAGUAAAAAUUGAUCUACUAACAAUAUAGUUGUAAUGGUGGUAUAUAUUUGUAUUGCAGGAGAACUGAUAAUGCAAAACUUGAGGUUAUACUAAGCAAAGAAAAGGUAGAUGACCUAAAGAAAGGUUUUUCCCAGAAAAAAAACAAUCACUGGGUUUUUUAACCCCUCUUUUGCUCAGCUACACUUCUAAUUAAGCUACUCAAAACUGUGAAGAAAUAAGGAUGCUGAUAUGUCAAGAAGAUAUUAGUACUAUAUUGUCUCCUAACAAUAAAUUUAAGAUUUCUAAAAUUAAAUGUUUGAGGGGGAAUGUAAAGACAAAAAUAUAAUUAACCCCUUAAUGACAGUCGGGUAAUAAAAUAGUGUUAAGUGGACAUUUAUAUUAGUAUGUAUUAUUUAAAUAUAAGAAAUGAAUUAUUGUAACUUACGG
rnacentral:lncRNA from 1 species